rnacentral:rRNA from 1 species
GUGGGGAAUAUUGCGCAAUGGGGGAAACCCUGACGCAGCGACGCCGUGUGAGGGAAGAAGGCCUUCGGGUCGUAAACCUCUGUCAGAAGGGAAGAACCGCCGGGGUAUGAAUAAGACCCUGGCCUGACGGUACCUUCAGAGGAAGCGCCGGCUAACUCCGUGCCAGCAGCCGCGGUAAUACGGAGGGCGCGAGCGUUAAUCGGAAUUACUGGGCGUAAAGCGUGCGUAGGCUGUUUGGUAAGUCAGGCGUGAAAGCCCUCGGCUCAACCGGGGAACUGCGUUUGAUACUGCCGGACUCGAGUCCCGGAGAGGGUGGCGGAAUUCCUGGUGUAGGAGUGAAAUCCGUAGAUAUCAGGAGGAACACCGGUGGCGAAGGCGGCCACCUGGACGGGUACUGACGCUGAGGCACGAAAGCGUGGGGAGCAAACAGGAUUAGAAACCCUAGUAGUCC